rnacentral:rRNA from 1 species
UACGGAGGUGCGAGCGUUGUCCGGAAUCACUGGGCGUAAAGGGCGCGUAGGUGGCGGUCCAAGUCAACGGUGAAAGCUCGGGCUCAACCCGAGUCGGCCGUCGAUACUGGGUUGCUUGAGCACUGUAGAGGCAAGCGGGAAUUCCGGGUGUAGCGGUGGAAUGCGUAGAGAUCCGGAAGAACACCGGAGGCGAAGGCGGCUUGCUGGGCGUCGGUCUGACGCUGAGGCGCGAAAGCGUGGGGA